rnacentral:lncRNA from 1 species
AUCCAUCUCAUUUCUUUCUCCAAAACCAUAUCCGUCAUAUGCCUUUUUAUAUUAUGUACUAUCUUUUCCCACAUGACCAUUUAAGUCCCCUCCUAAAAAAGUUCUCUCGCUAUUUGGUAUUCUUUGGACUAGUCCAUCCAUGUCUUCCUAGAAUUGUUUUUAUUUCUAUCUUAUAUCCUACCCAUGACGAAUAAGCACCAAGUACAUUAAUAAUCUCCUUCCCUAAUGCAAGUUUAAUUAAUAGGAACCUAUCACCUACUCUCUUGACAUCAUCUACUUUAUCCUUUAUGUUUUUUGUCUACUA